rnacentral:rRNA from 1 species
UACAGAGGUCUCAAGCGUUGUUCGGAUUCAUUGGGCGUAAAGGGUGCGUAGGCGGCGCGGUAAGUCGGGUGUGAAAGUCUCGGAGCUUAACUCCGAAACUGCAUUCGAUACUGCCGUGCUUGAGGACUGGAGAGGAGACUGGAAUUUACGGUGUAGCGGUGAAAUGCGUAGAGUAAUCGUAAGGAAGACCAGUGGCGAAGGCGGGUCUCUGGACAGUUCCUGACGCUGAGGCACGAAGGUCAGGGAGCAAACAGGAU